CAAUAGACUUUCAGGAGUUUAAGCGUCUUUUUGACAAGAUUACCGUCCAUGAACGCCGCACAUUCACACAACGUGGUGAAGUUUCGUAAACAUGCCGGCUAGCCAAACAGCUAGCUAAUUUGAACGCAUACAGACAUGGAGCUGGCCAGCGUCUGACUCCACGAUAAGGAGAAAAGAUCAGGUGUCAUGUCUGAGACGGAGUUUGUUGAUCAAGUUGAUGAUGGGAGCAGCAGUACUGCAGCUGCAGGCCACCGAGGAUACACUGCAGAUUGUGAGAGAAGUUGAACCCAAGACUGACCUCUCUGCUUGAAAG